UUUCAGGGUUAGAGAGAUGGCUCAGUGGUUAAGAGCACUAACUAUUCUUACAGAGGACCCAGGUUUAAUUCCCAGCACCCACGUGAUGGCUCAGUGGUUAAGAGCACUAACUAUUCUUACAGAGGACCCAGGUUUAAUUUCCAGCACCCACGUGGCUAUUCACAAUUGUCUGUAACUCCAGCUUUGGGGAAUCUUAUACCAUUAUUCAGACAUACAUAGAGGCAAAACACCAAUGCACAUGAAAAAUAAAAAUAAACACUACUAAUAAAGUAUCUUUCCAAAUUACUAAAGUAAUGCCUGGAUUAAUACAUCCCUUCUCCAGAUCAAGGGAGUUGAUACCUUUAGAGGUAUUCCAAAAAUGUUAUGGCCAUUCAGUAAGAUCAGUUACUCAGGAUCUGUUUAUAAUUAUUGAUAAGCAUUGAAAAGGGAAGUGUUAUACUAUAUAAGCAAUUUGAUAAUUGACAAAAAUUUCAGAAAGUGACACCUACAUCCUCUUAGUCCCAUCAUUAUAGACUCCAAGUUUACAAAAUCUCAACUGAGUGCCCAUGCACACAUACACAUACACUGAGCUUAUACUAUGAAAAGCCUUACAAUGACUUAUAUUGGCAUUCAGUAUCUCUCUAAUUGGUAAUUAUUUGCAUUCUUGAAAAAAAAUCACUGUGAACUUUAAAGUUAACUCUAAAAUAUUUUUCAUAUAAAAAACUAGUAAUAUAUCUAAGUGUACUGUCUGAGUAAAAUUGUAACAAAUGACACACUUUCCCUGAAUCCUAAAAAUAAGAUAUAUUAGAAAAGUGGAAAGGAAGAUGUGCAAGAUUCUAUUCCUGGAUUGUGAUUAUUUCCAGUGAGCAUUUGUAAAUAUAAUGAAGAUAUCAAAAGCUAUUUCUGAUCCCAGAGAUAUUUUUGCCUUUCUGUUUUAUUUAUCCCUGCCCUUGUGAACACAAGUGAAUUUUAAUUUUAAAAUGUUUGAAGUUCUGUACCUUCUAUAAGUUAACAGAAUCUAGAUUUGAAAAAAGAGAAACUAAAUUAUCUUCAUUUCUGCUAGUUUCACUUUACUGUAUAUGUGGAUUAUUUAAAGUAAUGGGUUAACAGAAAUGAGUGGAUUACCAUCCUGACUACCUGUAAGUGGUAAAUUAUAUUAGUAAAAACCAUUGGAUUGAAACUUGUGUCUGAGUGACUGCUUAGGCUUUAUUUGAAGUGUAAAUUUGAAUCCCAUUAUGACUGAAUUAGAUUUUAAACUAGAUAAUGAAUGAAUACUAAUAAACAGUUCUUGUUGCACUGUUCUGAAUACAGACUAUAUAUUUGGUACUGUUGGCCAAAUAGCUUUUGUAAUUUAUUUGAGUUAUAAUUUCAUAUUAGAAACUUAAUAAUGAAGAAUUCUCCAAAGGAAUAAGAUGUAUGCAGUUGUAUUUAAAAAGAACUGCAGCAGGAGUGUUACAGUCUGUUUCUAAACUAUCCAUUUCCAUCAUUGGCUAAUUGAUGGAUCUUUCAGGAAUCCAGAAUAAUGUCUGCAUGAAAUAAAUUACAGUUACAUAAGAGCCUUAAACUGGACAAAAGGACUCUUUUGACUGCCUUAAAAUGUGACUAGCUCUCCUUUCCAGACAUGCUAGUUUCUUUAGGGUCUGUUAUUUAAGUAAUGCCUUACUAGUGUCCUAAUGCUUCUAAAGAGUAGAACUUACAGGGUCUUCUAGAGCUUUUAAUUUUACAUAAUGAAUGGAAAUUUAACUGUUAGGUAUUAAACCUGUUUGUACAUUAGUAAUUUAAACAUGAAAGGAAUAAUCCGCCUAUGCUGAUGUGUGAUAAAUACAUGACUGCAACAUUAGUAUAUUUGUGGUUAAGGUUUUUUUGGUUGUUUUGUAUAACCAGUUAUACAGAAACAGGACUUCAUGACCAUAACAUGACCUCGAAGGACCAUGUUGCAUAUUUAACACUGAAUGAAAAGUAGUUGUAUAAAAGUACAGUUGUAUAGUUCCAAACGAACUGCUUUUUAAGGGAAAUUUUUGGGGCAAAAGACAAAUAUUUUGGUUCAAGCCUAUGAGCAAACUCAUUUAGAGGAAUGAAUAUAAUAUUAAAUCAUUGACUCUUGCAAUAAAAAUAUCAGUCCAGUGACUUGUUUCAUUGAGUUCACAUUUUGUGUUCACUUUGCCUUUAAAAGCAGGGAUAUCUUAAUGAAACUGAAAGAGUGCUUUAAAUUGCCAUGCUGGUGCUUAAAGAUAUAUUAAGCUUGAUUUAUAACUAGCUUAUAUUCCAAGGAAAGGAGCCUGGAGAGGGCAAACAGGCCUUUCUUAGGACUUGUGAUUAACUGAAGCUGUCAUGUCUUCCAAGUUUGCAAUGUAAAUAAUGUGUAACAAUGUAAUGUUGCUGUUUUCUAAUGAGGAAUGGACAAAUGCUUCUUUUUAUUACAUUUAUUUCACGAUAAAAGUUUUCACCAGUACUUGACUUUUCAAACCGAGCAAAAUAACCUAUUGCAUACAAGUUGAUUAUCUCUUACAUGAGAUGCUUGGGGCCACAAGUAUUUCAAGAUUCUUUUUUCAAAUAUUGGAAUUAUUUGCAUAUGUAUACUUUAAUACCUGGGACAUUCUGUGUGAACCUCAUAUAUGUUAUAUGAAAACAAAUUUGUCUUAAUGAAAUUGCAUUUGACUGUGACUUGUCAAUUGGUAUGAUAUGGAACUCUCCAUGUGGCAUUAUGUUAGCACUCUCAAGUUUUCGAUUCUGAAGCUUUUUAAAACUUUGGAUUUUCACAUUAAGGAUGUUUAAAUAAGUCAUUUCAGGUGUGGAGUGAGUGGGCACUACAUGAAUUGUUUGUCACUGGUUUAUUGUAGAAUUUGAUAGGUGUACCAAAUAAAUUUUAUGCAUAUCAAAUAACUUCUUUCACCUCUUAACAUCUGUUGAUAAGUAGAGUCCUGGUUUGCAAAUUAAUUCCUUUUGAUGUAAUGCUAGACCCCAAGAUGUAAUCUUUUUUUUUAAGUCAUUGAGAAUAAAAUUCAUUACACUUGUUAGGUAAGCACUGGAAGAGUG
rnacentral:lncRNA from 1 species